rnacentral:lncRNA from 1 species
GACUCAACAAAUUUAAACCAGACUACAUACUCAUCAGACCCUAAUGAGAUAAAGAAAAGGAGAGAUGGGAGUGAGACGAGAAAAGGGGGUUCACACCUUUUUUCGAGCGGCAAAUUGAAACUUUUCGUCGAGUAUUCCGAUGACUUUGAAACUCAACCCGAACUUCAAAUUUUAAGCAAAACGAAAAAAGAUUAAGAAAACUGGAGACCCCUGAUUUAAAAAGAAAAAACUAUUUUCGUCCCCCUUUUUUUUUUUCCUCUUUUCUCACAUUUUUUCUUCUUUUCCACCGAUCUUUCCUACUCUCUCUUUUUUUUGUCUUGCUUCAAAAUUAAGCCUCUAAAAAAACUUCACAAAAUCUUCUUUUGCUUCUGUUCUCUCUCUUUUUCGACCUUCUCUUUUACUAAUGUCUAUCCAAAUUUCCUUGUUCCUCCCAUAGCAAUGAAUGACCCAUAUUUAUAGGCGAAUACGGACUUGAAAGUCCGGAUUCAAAACUCGAUUUAAACAAAACGUGAUGAAACAACUUUGUUUGAAAUUGAUUAAAAAUUUUGAAAAAAUCUCUUGCUUUUCCAGGCCAUUAAUGGCGAUUUUGACUCAUUUUUCCGUUGUUAUACGGAUUAGGGGACUUUUUUUCUGAUUCUUUGGUGAUUUGCUGGCUUGGGGGAGAUUCUCAUGCAGUGUAGGUGUCCGCAACAGCUAUGGUUUCUCGUUUUGGUUGGAAGUGAAACGAAGAAGGAAAGAAGAAAAGGGUCUGGUUUUUGUUGUUGCCGUUUUGAGAAAGCAGAUGGUGACCCUACACUGAUUUUUGGGGAUAUGGGGAAGCACGCGUAUCUUUUACUCCUUCCAUUUCGGAAUAAGUGAAUUGUUAGGGUAUUUAUUAGUGUUUCAAAAUAAGUGAAUCAUUAAAUUUUUUUCCAAAUUUACCUAUUUGACAACCAAUUAACUUUUGUAAAGGUAUUACAAGGUCAACUUUUUUUUUUGGGGGGUAAAAAUAGAAAGUUGUGUUAAAUUUAUGUUUUUAAUGUUUUUUGCUUAAUAUGUGUGCCAAAAUCCAACAAUUCAUUUAUUAUGAAAUGGAGAGAGUAUUAAAAAGAAUAAGAAGCUGUGUAUUUGAUGCAUAAGGCAUUUACAGGUCGUUUGGUAGAGUGUGAUAAGAAAAUUAAUGCAUUUAUUAGUUUUAUGUAUUAAUAAUACCUUGUUUGGUAUACAUUUUUAGUCUAUAUAUAACUAAUAUUUGCAUUAGUUGUACACUCUAUUGUGUAUUAUACUAUGCAUAACUAAUACCAUCAUUUUUCUAUGUAUUAAUAAUACAAACUUUCGAUACAUGCAUUAGUUUAUUAAAUGACAAAUUUACCCCUCAAUUUCUUUUCAAUUCCUUUCCGUUCUUAUCCCCAAACUAUAUCCAUUUCACUGAUAAUUGAAUCUUGCAAAUGAUUCAAUAUAAUAAUACUUGACCAAGAAAGUAAAUGCGGUGAUUAUUUUUCUACUUACUUACUAUCACAGUAAGAUUAUGAUGCUACUGUAUGACUUUUCAAAUUAGCAGCAAGUUAAAAACAACUUUGCCAAAACGCACAGAUGCAGAAAAGUUAGAAGAAACAUAGAGCUAGAUUUUUUUUUUUUGAGAAAUUGGUAACAUUGAUCAAUUUUGAUCCGUCCGAUUAAAGAUCGGACGGUCUUAAAAAUAAUAUCUAAAAAGAUAAAUAAGAAAGGAAUAUUUAUAUAUAUAUGUACAUAUAAAUAAAUAUUCAAAAAGAAUUGAUUAAAAAUAGAUUAUCUUUUGAUAUGUUCGAUCUUCGUCCGGAUCUAAUUUUGAAGAAAAGAGAAUAUAAAUACGUAACGAAAUAAGUAAAUAAUUAGAUAAAUAAAAUACAUUAUGUACACAUAUAUGCAAAUAUAUAACGAUGACUAAAACUUUUGGGAUCCUUGAUUUAGAAAAUAGUCAACGGACUGGACAAAGUUGUGUUAGUCUGGUGAUUUUGGAUCGGUUUUGAUCCGUCCAAUCAUUUGAUCGAACAAUCCUAAAAGAUUACCCCUUAAAAAUAAUAGUGAAAAUAAGAAAAAUAAAAAUGUAUUAUACGGAUAAAUAUAUAGAAAGUCGAUUUUUAAAACGACUAUUUUUGAACCAUUCGAUAUCUGAUCGGACGGUUCAAAUUUAAUUUAAAGAGAGGAGGAAAAGGAGUAAAAAUAAAUAUAUAAACAAAUAGAUAAUUAAAAUAAAUAAAAAAUUAUAUAUGCCUACAUAUAUAUACAAAUAACUGAAAAUUUUGGAAUUCUUUGAAUUUAAAAUAAAUCGACGAAUCAAAUUAAAUAGUAUCUAUUGAGGUGGAAUGGCAAGACGACCAUAAGAAUUAUACUGGGUUUAGGCUGAUUUUCGGGCUCUUGGUUGAAAUUUAUAAAAUAAAAGUUGGGUUUGGAAAAAUAAAAAAUAGAAUAUUGUUAGCCCAAAUACUCCUUUUCUACUUAAAUUAAAUUUAUCAAUGCUUCUGAUAUCCUAAAAAUUAUUUUUUUGUUUAACGUAUGUAAAUUACAUACAUAAUUUGUAUACGUGCUCAACUUAAUAAAUGUAAAUGCAAGUAUCAAAUUUUUUAUGUGAUUUCAAUGUUAAAAUAUUUAAUUAUAUUUAAUUAAAGUAUUUUAUAAUAUGAUAGAAAAUAGAUUCUCUUUUACUAUUUAUAAAAUUAAAACUACGAAUCUUAUUUCUUAUUUAAUUGUUAAAAUUAUUUAGGGCCAAGAAGAAUCAGAAAAGUAAUUAAAGGAAAAAGGGCAAGUAAAAAUUGGGUUUCAACAGUUGCCCCUGAGUGACCAAAGAUUUGUGUGAAAAUCUUUGAGUAAUCACGUUGACGUAACCAAUUUUAUCUCGGACAAAAUAAAAUAUUUGGAAGAUUAUGGCCGGACUUUAAUUUUUGAGCUGCCUACAUAUCUCGAGCUUCACAAGAAAUCAGAACAUUUGUAGUUCGAAUCAUAAUAAAAUUUGGUAAACACCAAAAUUUGCUCCAGUGUUUCUUUGAGGACGAUAACAAAAAUUUCAGCACGAAUGAAAUGGAUACGGGUACACUUGUAUCUGAAAUGGUUAUUUGUAAUAGCUGAGAAUAAGGUGACGUUGGAUAAAAUAUCUAUUGAGGAUUUUGAGAGAGAAGGAAAUUGUAAAUUUUUAAAAUUUGCCCAGUGUCGGAUUAAGACGACACUAGGUGAUGACACUAAAAAUUAUAAAAAUGAAAAAUUCGAGUCGAGUUGGGUUAAGUUUCUUCGUCGAUAUUUUUGACGUAGCUAGAGAUUCUUGACAUUCCGCUAGCUUGCCCUAGUUUGCUGUUAAGAGGGUAGUUCCACGUUGUAUUGCAUGUUCCUGCAAAACAGGUAAAAGGGUGAAAAGUACCUGUUGUUCAAAACUUGUAAAUUGAAAUUGUAAUGUAAAGAGUAGAGUUUAGAUAUUCAAUCUAGCAUUGCCUCCGUUCGUGGAGGCCUCCGACUGGCGGGGCAAUAACUGAAAUAUAAUAGCCUCCAUCGGCUGAGUAGCUUCUUGAAAGUAAAAGCCUCCGUCGAAUGAGCAAUAAUUGAAAUGUAAAUAACCUUUAUCGGUUGAAAUGUAAAUAGCCUCCGUCGGCUGAAAUGUAAUAGCCUCCAUCGACUGAAAUGUAAGUAGCCUCCGCCGGCUAAAAUAUAAAUAUCCUUCGUCGGCUGAAAUGUAAAUAGCCUCCGUCAACUAAAAUGUAAAUAGCCUCCGACGGUGGGACAUUUGCCAAAAAAUAAACUGUCUUGUAUUGGCAACACGACCUUUUGUCUGAACCAAAUGAUGGUAUUGCUGCUGGAACUUGAUGUUGUUGUGAUAGUGGCUUUCUUGCGCACUUCCUAUGGCGUGGGCCUCUGUUUGGCAGGCUAUGCUCUGUUUUCUGAUAUGCGAUUCUCCGAUAUGGUAGAGUGUUGCUUUGCUUAUAUACAUUCUUUGAUUUGUGGCGGGGCGUCCCCCUUUGCUGGUGCACAACUCUCGAUAUGGAAGAGGUCAUGUUACUAAUUUGCAUCCUUUUAUAUGGAAAAGGGUCACUUUGCUUGCCUAUGUACAGUCUUCAAAAUGUGGAACUUGAUUUUGUUUUCCUUAUGUACAGUCCUCGAAUUGUGGAAGCUUGACUUCAUUGAAGCCAAAUGAUGUUCUCCGAUUGGCGGAGUUAUUCGACGUAGUUAAAUGAUGAUUCUUCGAUUGGAAAAGUUAUUCGAUGUGGUUAGGUGGUUGGCUUCGAUUUAUGGAGUUUAUUGGGAGAAGUAAAUAGCCUAUCUUCCUAUGAGGAUCCUCUUUUCUUUGUUUUCAACCCGAAUCUUGAAAAUGUACCUGCAAAAGAAUAAAACACUUAGAGCAUGUGAAGAUUAGUAUAAAUGUAUGUAAAGAGAAUGAAGUAAGGGAGGAAUAUUUUGCUCAUGUCGUGAUGGUAAGCCGCAUGAUGCCCCUGAUCCUAUCCCAAAACUUGACUUGAUGUCGUCUCCCAAUUCUUGUUUUCCUGCGCUCAAAGAAAAAUUCUUAGUUUGGAGGGGCUGUUGAUUUGUGUCGACUUGGGGAUCCUGUCUUUGUUUACGAAAUUCUCCAACACUCCCUCGAUUGCUCGAUCACUCCCAAAUCUGGAGUCUCAGUAGACGGAAAAGUUGAAAAGUAUAGUGAAAAAUACAUAUAUGUAUAUAUAUUUUCGCAAAUAUAUUACGUAUUUAUUAAGUAUAUAUAGUAAUCUCUUAUCAUUCUUAGAUUAUGACAUGUUUCGAAAAUUCAUUGAGCCUCCAUUUGUUGAUCGUGACCCACGUAGCUUUAUCCUUCGGGUGGAGCUGCUCUGACUUUGUCAAUGCUAUGACGAUUCUGGUGGUGAGAUCGCUUAUAUUAUGGGGUUAUACUAUGAGCAAAAGGAGAUUUUCCUAAAGGUAAGACUGAGCCUUUAAGGUUGCCUACGUAUCCUUAAAAUAGAAAUUAGGUCUGUACGUAGUUCAAAGGUGGAGAAGGAAAAAUAAAAUACAGCAAUCGAGUCUGACUCAGACUGCCUAUGUAUCCAAGUGGAAUCAGGUCUUGACAUAGGUCAAUUACAACGGGAAAAGUGAAAAUAUGUUGUGCAAGGUCAAUUACAACGGGAAAAGUGAAAAUAUGUUGUGCAGUGACUGAGCCUAACUCAGGCUGCCUACAUAUCCUAAGAAUAGGAAUCAGGUCAUAACGUAGUUUGAUACAAAAGAUAAGGUAAAGUAGUGCAAUGACCGGGCCUGACUCAGGCUGCCUACGUAUCCAAGUGGAAUCAAGUCAUUCCGUAGUUCAUUACAAUGAAAAGGUAAAAAUAUGAAGGGACCGAAUUCGAUGAUGAUUGCCUACGUAUCCCAUCGUGGGAAAUCAGGUCGAGCGUAGUUUUGAGUACAUAAAAGGAUGACAUUUUUGGGUUUUCUAAGGGAAACCAAACCCUAUGUGAGCUGCCCACGUAUCCCGCCAUGGAAAGUCAGGCUAAUACGUAAUUCUGUUAUAUUAGAGAAAAAAUGCAAGAAGUACAAAGAAACAACUAGUCCUAAUGUCAGGCGUCUGAAUUGAUUGUCUUCGUGCUUAUUCUGCCAUCCAUUUCUGCAAGAAUUACUACUCUUCCUGAGAGUACUCGGUGGACUAUGUAAGGACCUUGCCAAUUUGGCGCAAAUUUCCCUUUGGCUUUAUCUCGGUGAGGGAAUAUCUUCUUCAAUACUAAUUGUCCUGGUGUGAAUCGACGAGGCUUGAAUUUCUUGUUCAACGCCUUGAUUAUUCUAUUUGAUAGAGUUGACCAUGACAGACUGCAUCCAAUCUUUUCUCAUCAAUGAGCAUCAACUGCUUGAUCUUGCUACGAAUCCAUUCAGCGUCAUCUAGACCAACCUCCUGGAUGACUCUUAAUGAAGGUAUUUCUAUCUCUGAAGGUAUCACUGCUUCUAACCCGUAAACCAAUAUGUAGAGAGUUGCCCCAGUAGAAGUUCUAAUCAUGGUGUGAUAUCCUAGUAAAGCAUACGACAACUUUUCAUACCAUUCCCUAUUACCGUCCACUAUCGUCCUCAAGAUCCUCUUGAUAUUUUUGUUUCUAGCUUCAACCGCUCCAUUCAUUUGUGGUCGAUAUGCCGUAGAAUUUUGAAGAUUUUAAACCUUUUGCAAAUAUCUCUCAUCUGGUCGCUAUUAAGAUUGGCUUCAUUAUCUGUUAUGAUUGAUUCUGGAAUUCUGAACCGACAGACUAAGUUGUUGCGGACAAAAUUUGCUACCACCUUCUUGGUUAUGGCAUUAUGUGUUGAGGCCUCAACCCACUUCGUGAAGUAGUCGAUAGCGACCAAGAAAAAAUAGUGUCCAUUGGACGCAGGAGGCUCUAUGGGACAAAAAACAUCUAUUUCCCAAGCAGCAAAUGGCGAAGGAGAACCCAUCACAUUGAUAUCGUUUGGCGGAACUCAUAUAAAGUCUCUAUGAACUUGACAUUGGUGACAUUUUUGUAUGUAUCAGAUGCUACCCCUCUCCAUGGUCAUCCAAAAGUAUCCAGCUCUCAAAAUUUUCUUCGUCAAUAUGAAAUCAUUCAGGUGGGGUCCACAAGUUCCUAUGUGUAUUUCUUCCAACAAUCUUGUGGCUUUCGAGGCGUCGACACAUCGUAUUAAUCCCAAGUCUUGAGUCCUCUUAUACAAGAAUUCCUUGUUGAGAAAGACGUUAUUGGCUAUCCUUCUUAAAGUCUUCUUCUGCUUGCCAGUAGCGCUUUCUGGAUAUUCUCCUGCUUCGAGUAACCUCUUGAUGUCGUAGUACCACAUUUUUCCAUCUGGCUCUUCAUCUACAUGGAAAUAGUAUGUUUGUUGGUCAUGUAUCUGCACCUUGAUGGGAUCGAUGUAAUUCUUAUCUGGAUGCUGAAUCAUUGAAGAUAGUGUUGCCAAGGCAUCAACAAACUCAUUUUGAAUUCGAGGGACAUGCUUGAAUUCAAUCUUCGUAAACCUUUUACUCAACUCCUUAACACAUUGUACAUAAGGAAGGAUUUUGACAUUCUUGGUGGUCCAUUCUCCUUGCAUCUUAUGGAUCAACAAAUCUGAAUCUCCUUUCACCAAUAGCUCUUUGAUGUCCAUGUCUACUACUAUCCUAAGCCCGAGAAUGCAAGCCUCAUGUUAUGUCAUGUUGUUCGUGCAAGGAAACCUAAUCUUCGCUGAGAUCGGAUAAUGUUGACCUAUUUUCGAAACUAGAACUGCUCUGAUACCGACUCCCUUAAAGUUCGCUGCUCCAUCGAAGAACAACCUCCAUCCAUCAUACGACUCUGAGAUGUCUUCUCGUGCAAACAAUAUCUCUUUAUCAGGAAAGUAGGUAUUGACCAAUAUGUAAUCUUGAUCUAAAUUUUCUGCGAGGUGAUCAGCCAAAGCUUGUCCUUUAAUGGAUUUUUAUGUCACAUACACAAUGUCAAACUCACUCAACAUAAUCUGCCAUUUUGCCAAUUUUCCAGUAGGCAUUGGCUUCUGAAAGAUGUACUUGAGUGGAUUCAUUCUUGAAAUCAAGUACGUGGUAUACGUGGAAAGGUAGUGCCUUAACUCUUUCACGACCCAAGUCAAUGCGCAACAGGUCCGCUCUAACAAUGUAUACCUAGCUUCAUACGACGUGAACUUCUUACUUAGGUAGUAAAUGACUUGCUCUUUCCUCCCUGUAUUAUCAUGCUACCCUAACACACAUCCAAAUUCAUUAUCCAUAACAGAUAGAUAUAACAGUAACGGCCUUCCUGGUUCUGGUGGAACCAGUACUGGUGGGUUAGACAAAUACUCUUUGAUUUUGUCAAAAGCCUUCUAACAUUCUUCAGUCCAUCCGGUGGUGGCAUCCUUUUUCAAUAACUUGAAUAUUGGUUCACAAAUUAUUGUGGAUUGGGCUAUGAACCGGCUAAUGUAAUUGAGUCUUCCCAAAAAGCUCAUUAUGUCCCUCUUGGUCUUAGGAGGUGGUAAGUUUUGGAUUGCCUUUAUCUUGGAUAGAUCCAACUCUAUACCUCUCCUACUAACAAUGAAUCCCAAUAACUUUCUUGCAGGAACUCCAAAGGCGCAUUUAGUUGGAUUCAACUUUAGGUUGUACUUCAUAACCUUUCGAAGAACUUUUGUAAGUCAUCCAGGUGAUCUGAACUCCUUUUGGACUUGAUAGCGAUGUCAUCCACAUACUCCUCGAUCUUUUUAUGGAUCAGAUCGUGAAAAAGGGAGGUCAUGGCCCUCAUGUAUGUUGCACCAGCAUUCUUAAGUCAAAAUGGCAUUACACUAUAGCAGUAUACUCCCCGUGGAGUAUUAAAGGCUGUAUUUUUUGCAUCAUCCUCAUCCAUCAAGAUUUGAUGAUAUCCCACAAAUAAUCAAUAAAUGACUGUAGCUCAUGUUUUGCGUUAUUAUCGAUGAGAAUAUUCAUGAGAGGAAAAUAAUCCUUUGGACUAGCCUUGUUGAGAUCCCAAUAAUCUAUGCAUAUUCUUAUCUUCCCAUCCUUCUUGGGUACUGGUACGAUGUUGGUCAGCCAAGUGGGAUAAGUUGUGACCCUCACGACAUUAGCUUCGAUUUGUUUGGUCACUUUCUUCUUAAUUCUUAAACUCAAGUUGGGUUUAAAUUUCCUGGUUUUUGGCUUCACCGGUGGGUAUGCAGGGUUAGUCGACAGUCGAUGCGAGACGAUAUUGGUGCUUAACCAGGAAUAUUGUCAUAAGACCAAGCAAACACAUCGAUGUAUUAUUUGAGCAGACUUAUCAAUUUCUGCUUCUUUUCACCCUCCAAAUGUAUGCUGACUUGUGUUUCCUUUGCUGUUUCUUCAUCACCCAAAUUGACGACUUCAGCUUCGUCCAUAUUAGGCUUCUUCUGACUCUCAAGUUGCUCGAUCUCCUGCGAUAGGUUUUCAAGCAUCAUGCUUUCAUCGUACUCCUCGUAAUCUUGCUCAUCGCUUGAAUUUUGCUCAACGGAUUUGUUACAGUUCAUAAUCCUGGAAUGAGAUUUUUAUUAAUAUUUGCACUGAAAAGUAUAAAAAGCGAGUAAAGUAAAUAGAUAUUGGAAUAGAAAAAUAAGUUUUGAAAAUAAGGACUUUUAUUAAUAAAAACACUAGGCUUUUGCAAGAGGCUAGUAGCAAAAGAGCUUCGGCAUGAUUCAAGCCUCAAUUGAUCAUGAAACAAAAUAAUUUUUAAAAGUAACAAUAAUCCCGUACUACCAAGACUCCUAUUGGAAUAGGGAUGGGAUAAUGGCCCAAUUCUGCUGGACUUCACCAGGUUCAGCAUCACGGACUGUGAGCUUUUUGAAAUAUAUCUCCGAUUCUUCUUCGAUCACGGCCACAAAUAUAUUUCCUAUUCCUUUCAUGAUAUCUUCAUCAAUUGUUUGCCCUAAAACUGGGACUUGGGCUGGCACGAAUACUGUUAAUCCAAAUCCUUCACUGUAGGCUUCUUCAUAAAUGGGCUCAAUCGAAGACCUGUAGCACCUCUCUGAUGCUUCAGCUGGAUUGGCUCGACUAUACCAUCGAAUCUUGGUCCUAGCCCUGUCUUGGGUUGAUAUUUAUAUUUCAAAAUCUCCGACGCAACCAUCUUUUUAGCACUCGACAUUUUUCUCUCAUUGAUCCUUGUAGCUUGCAUGAUCUCCAGGGUAUGGAAAGUAGCUCCAUCUAACUCCUCGGUGACGAGGACUGAAUUAACAGAAUAGAUAGGAUAACUAAGAUCUACAUGGACAGUAACUUCUGUACGGCCCCACUCAAACUUCAUGCACUGAUGAAGAGUAGAAGGAACGAAUCUUGCCAUGUGGACCCAUGGCUUCCCAGCAGCAGGUUGUAACUAGACGACACAUCCAUGACCUAAAAUAGAAUAGGAAAUUCUACUGGGCCUAUCUGCGGUGCCAAGUAAAUUUCUUCGAUAACACUCCUUUGUGACCCACCAAAGGCUCUAACCUUCACCUGACUCUCCUUUAUAUCUUCUAUAUUCACACCCAAAUCCCUUAAAGUAGAAAACGGACAACUAUUGCAACCCAAACCACCAUCGAUCGAAACCCUGUUCACAAUCUUGUCAUGAUAUCUGACUGCAAUAUGGAGCGCUUUGUUAUGUCCUGCCCCUUCUGACGGUAACUCAUCAUCAUGGAAAGAGACCUUAUUUGCCUCCACCACUCGCCCGAUUGCUGCAGCCAAAGUCUCGCUAGUGGUUUUCUUUGGUAUGCUAACCCCAUAUAACACUUUCAUCAAAGCGUUCCUGUGGGUUUCAGAACUCAUAAGCAAGGACAUGAUGGAUAUGUACUCCGGUAUCUUCUUGAGGUAAUCUUCAAUCGAAUAGUCCUUGGGUUGUAUCUUUUUCCAAAAUUCUGUAGCUUUAGCAUCUGUAAUAGUUCUCUUCGAGUUUUGAUCUUUCUCUAGAACUCCACGAUUUGGUUUCUCUGGCGCGUGACAUCUUUCUGAACUGGUCAUCCCUUGAGCCGCAGCAACAUCUAUUAUUUUUCCCUUGGCUUCAACUCGAUAGUCCCAUCAAACUACUUUAGUGUCACAGUCAGGCCUUCAGUGACUAAUGUGGUCACUACGACUCUCGACAAGUAAGUAUGAACAGUUAUAGGCUCCCUCAACUGAACUGUGAUAAACGACUGUUAUAGGGAUGCAAUGGCAAUUUCUUCUUUCAAACCAUACUCCUCCUCUAGAGUAAUCAUACUGACUUCCCAAUUUCCAUGAUUUGUUAAGUGGUUAUUGUACAUAUUUGGAGCUACGGUGGUGCAUUUGAUUAUACCGUUCCUUAUUAAAGACUCAAUUUGAUUCUUUAAGUUGUAGCAGUUUCUGUGUCAUGCCCCUGGACUCUUGAGUGAUAGAUGCAUCGUUUGUUACCGUCAAAGUUUUGAGAGGUCGGAUCAGGGGUCUUUCCCACAAUUGGAAGCAAGAAACUUGUUGCCCUUAAUCUCUCAAACAAUUGGGCCAAAGGUUCUGCAAUUGGUGUGUAGGUACGGGUAUUUUUCGUAAGUUUGGUCUAUUUUGGUAAGCUAGAUCUUGGACAGGGGCGUACGGUAUUGGUGGAUUUUGGUAUACUGGAGCUCUAUGUGGAUUGUAAUGCGGUUGAGUAUUGUACACUGGGACAUGUGCAAUAAUUUGGGGGUUGUUAGGGUAACGGUAGGAAGAAUUCCCAAGUUAAUAGUAUGGUGUGGCGGCUAAGACAUCUUUCCUCUUUUUCUUGUUACCAUUAAUGAAACCAGUCUGUAUGGCCUUACUUGCAGUAUGCAGUGCAGGCAUAGAUUGGAUCUUCCCUGAUUUGAUGCAUUUUUCUAUGAAAUUUCCCAUCUUAACCAAUUAUGCAAACUUUUGGCCCAUCAUUGACAUCAUCUUGUUAAAAUAAACACCCUCUUGAGCUCGGAUAAAAUACUUGGAGAGCUCACUUUCGUCCAGUGGAGGCUGGAUCCUAGCAGCCUUGGUCCUCUAACGCCAUGCAUACACUUGAAAUAAUUCUGAUGGCUUCUUUUGUUUGUUAGCCAAUGAGAACCUAUUUGGGGAAAUCUCAGUGUUAAAUAUGAAGCGACUCAUGAAGUCCUCAGCCAUUUCUUGCCAGUCACACCACUUACGGGGGUCUUGUUGGGUGUACCAAGUCAAAGACUCUCCUGAGAAACUCUAAAUGAACAACUUCAUUCUCAACUUCUCAUUCCUUUCGACACCAACCAACUUAUCUCAGUAAGCCCUCAGAUGUGCAUGCGGGUCUCCCUUUUCAUAAACUAUAUCGAACUUUGGUGGUUUGUACCCUACCGGCAUAUCGAUGUCUAGAUGAAUGCAUAAGUCGUCGUAGUCCAGACUUUUAGUCCCCCUAGUGACUUGUAUGUUCCUGAAUGCUCUCUUUAGACUUUUGAGAUGGGUUGCUAUCGACCCUUCUUCACUUGAUUGGACAGCCUUUCCCAAUCUCGCAUACUGAUCAACCUCAUAUGGAACCUUAAGAGUCACAGAUAUUAUAAAAGUAGGAGCUUUGGUAGUAUGUACAGGUGGCACAGGUAUCUCACAAGUGACAUGUUCCUCGGGUAUGCGUUGCAUUUUCAGAUUGAAUGGAUCAGUAAAGUUCUGAGCAGGAAAUGAAUAAACAGGUGUAGUUCUGACAGUAGGUUGAAGAACUGGUGGUUUUGAGCAUACGAUAAAUUUGCUUGGUUAGUGAGAGCUCAUGGAAGCAAUUUAAUACUUGGAGCCUGCAACUGAGAGGGAAAGCUAGCUAUUGUAAGCUUGGUUAGAUCCCGCAUUUGACGUAGUUCAUCCUUUAGUACUUCAAUUUCUUGCACCAUAAUGGCCAUUUGUUCGUCGUUCUGAGUGUCUAACGGCCUUUGAGAGCUUUUGGAGUCACCUACUAUUAUUAUCGCAGCCUUAUCUCUUUUAGUCAUUUUGUCUUUUGAUAGAAGGUUGUAUUGGGAUUUCGAAAGUUUUCCAGUGACAAAAUCAACUUGUCUUUUUUGAAGGGAUUAAUAAACAAAAGAAAGAAAAAGAAAAGGGAAACUAUGUUAGUUUGGGAGAUAACAAAAAUGUAACAAGUAAGUGACACAUCAAUACGCUAAGUAGGUGACAUCCAAAACGCGUCCUAAUAUAGAGCCUCUUUUUUUUUACCAGAGGUGGGCCUAUGGUGCAAGUAUGAUUAAUUGAUCCAAAGUUUAAAUCAUUUUAAAAUUCAGGACAAGAGUUCUUUGAUUAAUAAUAGGGGAAAAGUGUGAAGCCACGAGUUACAAAGAGAAAAAGUUUUGAACUAGAGAUUACAUCAUGGUAGGUUUAUAGCAAUAUCAGUAGUGGUCAUGCAAGACCUUUUAAGAAAAAUAGAAAUAAAAGGCAAAACUACAAAUAGGUCGUGGAAGACCCCUCGAGAAUCAGAUAUAGCAGAUGGAUCCUAAGGCCAGCUGAGGGGAUCAUCAUCAUCAUCGUCAAGGCCAUAGUAGGGCCCUGGGUGAUACUCUGGGGAACCAUCCAACUACUACCCCUGGUAGUCCUCGUCUUCCCCGCCACCGAACUCUAUGGGUCUAUAUUUUUCUUCUUUGGGGUCUUUCUUCAUCUUCUCUGUCAGCUCUCCCUUUGCUCUUCCAUUGGAUCCUCCUCCGGAUCUUUCUUUGGGUCCUCUUUGGGGUCUUCCUCUAUUUUCUCCUUGGGUCCAUCAUCUACUGCGUGUAUGAGGUGAUCCACUGAUCCCAGAAUUAUCUGUUCUUACAUGGCAGUGGUCACAGGACUAAGGUACAGCAGCUGCUCUCGAAUCUUGUCUGCUCUAUGAAUGUCUGCAAGCCACUGAAGUGACUCAUAGCUUGGUCGGGCUAGAAUUCCUCCAGACACGUACUAUGUGUAAUACUCAGGAGUGCAGUAUGGGUUACCGCUUAUGCCCAAACUAAUGAUCUGUCCCCACCCAUUGAUUAAAUUGCCGAGCCACUCCAUGGGUAUUCUUUCUUCAUAAUCUUCCUUUGGGAACGCCAUGUUCGACCAUAGAGGCAUAUUCUGAAUCAUGCCAAACUGUUGUAGAACUCUUAACGAUGCAUAUGGCUGGAUUCCUUCUAACUCAAUCAACUUGAGGAAAUAAGAGUAAUGCCUCCUUAGUAUUACUCGACCGCUAACCUAUGGUAGCCUCCACUGGAUGAGGUUACCGUUGAGAUGGGUUAGAAAGAUGCACCACUUCUCCUCAUUACUCGGCAUGUCCCACAUAGCCACCAUACAUUUGUGGCUACAAAUCUGGUUGAAACCUGUCUCCUUGAUGCCAUCCCGACGAUAAAAAUAUUCUAAUGCCCAUACUUUGGAGCAUUAGGUUGCAACCUCUGAAAAAAUCGUGUCCCUUGGAGCAUGCAGACAAGGACAAAAGACUUCUGCUAGAAUCAUCGGUACGAUCGGGUUCUGAUUGGUCCCUUGCACAUGAAUAUGACCAUGGGGAGUAGAUGAAUGCUGAUCUGGUUCCCUCUUAUUGGUAACACCAUAAUACCGAUGAAAGCCACCAUAAAAACAAUGGUUUUAUGUCUCUCCCAGUCGAUCCUGAUAAAGAACUUCUCUCGAAAAUGGUCAUAGCUCUCCUUUCUACCAAACCUCUCAAAAAGAUAACCUAGGCUUACCCAACCUGCCUCAACCAUCCUCAAGCCUGUACCGACUCUCAAUCCUAUAUCGCGAAGAAUACGACUACCUGAAGUAGUGCGUGGGGCCAACGGUACCCACCCCGUCAAUGAAAAGUUAUCCUCUUGGCUGAUCUCCUCUAAAGUAGGCGUGAUCUCAAAGUCCAUGAAACUAAAACUGACUUUAGUCGGGUCCCAGAACUCGACUAGCAAUCGAAUAAGUAGCUCGUCUGUCCUUAUCUCCAUUAGAUCAGUCAAGGACCCCAAAUGUGCCAGUACUUCCUCCCCGUGAGCUACUUGGAUGUUUCUCCACCAGUGUCUCAGGACCCGUGGUACAUCAGUCAACAUGCGGAUGUUGGUGAGAUUUUGGUUGAUUUCCAUCUGUGCAGAGAAAAAGGGUAGGGUAAGCUCAAUUUCCUUAAUUUAUUAAGGUCUUAACAUUUGGAUCAACUAGUCAUUUCACACAUAGCGUUGUUGGGUUCAUGAAGAACCCGUUGACACGAAGGGUAGUUCCCUAAUUGGGAAAACAAUACCUUGGACUGUUCCGCCUAAGGUGUAUACAAUAUGACCUAUUACUACAGUAGAAUUUUUUCCUAAAUGCUCAAGAGUGAGACUGAAUAGCUGCGAGAAGGUGUACUAGCCUAACUGCACCGACUCUGAAACUAAGGAAUCCAAAGAAGGUUCGGAGGAGUGCAGUGCACUCCUCGCGUGUUCAGUGUGUGAAUUGUGUACGACCAAGACUCGGUAGGAGUAUUACAAGUGAUAAAGCAAUAACAAGUAGUGUUGUACAAACAAAUAAGGAACACAAGUUCGGAUUUGGCUUGCGUCUUUUUACAGAAAGCAUGAUAUAAAGACAGGUAAGAAAAUAACAUAAUAAAGACGAAAAAUUCUAAACUAAGCAGGUGAAGGUUAAACCUAAGUUCAUUAGGUCCUCAGCAGAGUUGCCAUUCUGUCGCGCACUAUUUCGAACCGGUCGAAACAGGACACGACGUAUGUAGUGACAUUUAUAAUUCUUGGGUUUUGAAAAAUUAUUUUUUAGAGCCGCUACCUAACUUUUUUUAAGAAAAUUAGGAAAAAUUAUCUUUAUUGUGUAAAACUCUGUAUUAGUCUAUCAAAACGUUUUGAGAUUUUGAGUAAUGGUUUUGGUUACUCGAGGAAAAGGUGUUAGGCACCCCUCAGAGCCUAUCCGAAGAUAGUCCUUACACUCUGUUUAGAAAAAUAAGUAAUUGCUUCGUUAUUUGCCAAAAAAUAGUGAUGAAAACACUUUUGUUAUUUGUUGAGGAAAGAAGAUUUGAGGUUUAUAAAAGCACCAAUAUAAUAUACAAAUAUAUGUUUGUAUCAAGAUAUAAAAACGGGGAAGAGAAAAUCUAGAAAGUAAGUAACACAUUAAGUUAGAAAAUAAGAAUUUUUACAAUUUUACGAGAACAUUUAUUAUUUAAUAACGUAUAAAGUUGAAUAAAGAAAAUAUAGUUUUGGGAAUAUGAGAGUUAUCAGAAAAUUUAUUCAUUAGAAAGAGACGAAAUCCUAUUAAAUUGUAAAAGGGUGUCACAAACAUUAGCAUAUUUAUUUAUUUAUUUUAGGUAAAUUAAACGCAUGAAUAAAGAUAAAAGAAUAUAACAAUUAAAAGUGGGUAAAAACUGAGUAUCCUAAAUAAUAAAAGAAACUAGGAAUAUAAAAAUUUAAAGUGAAUAAAAAGAUCAAGAUAAAAUACAAAAUGUAUAAGUAUAGUUAAAAUCAAGUAUAAAUAAUAAGUAAAUAAAUAACUAUAAUUGGGAUAAAAUAUACCUUAUGUACAGUAAUGUAUACAUAUACCUCGAGAAAGCUCAAGAGCAAAUGUUCAAAUAUCAAGUAUUCGAUAGCAUAUUGAGACUGUUCAUUUUUUGAAGUGCCUUUAUAAACUUAGUUCUCAACAAACUACAUCAAUGCCUAAUUAAAUGACUUUUCUCUUACAAAAUGUAUUUAAACUAAAUGACUUUUCUCUUACAAAAUGUAUUUAAACUCUUGAAAACUAUGUUGUUAUACUACUAAAUGACUUUUCUCUUACAAAAUGUAUUUAAACUCUUGAAAACUAUGUUGUAAUACUUUAGAGAAGCAACUUUCAAACUCCAAAAAAAUAUAAAUAAAACUGCAUUCUUAGGGUCAAAAAAUCAACCAUUACCUAUUUUUAAAAGUUUUUUCUUACUAAAAAAAAAAAAACACUUUGACGUUAAAAAUAUGUUCGUCGAGUUCAUACACGCCAAAAAAUACAGCUUGUCCCCACCACCCCGCUCCCCGCCCGCCCUCCAAAAAAAUUAAAAAAAAACUGCACUUUAACCCUAGAAUAGUUGUAAAUUUUUGGCCCCAAAUCUGUGAUGUUAGCUACUGCUGAAGUUGCAUCUUUGCACACAAAAAUCUGCACUUACAUAGCAAAAUAACAGCACUUUAGAGCCUAAAAACAAUAUUUUUUUCUUAAAAAAAUCUGCAUACUUGCAUUAAAAAAACGACUGCAAUUUUUACACCUUUCAAGGGACAUGUUUUAUGCUAGAACUAACAUUUUAGGUUGGAAUCGCUAGUAAAACAAAUCCUAGACAAGUAACGGUAAACAAAAUCAAACGAAUAUACCAACACCGAUCAAUUCAUACCAAAUAAAUAUUCAAAUAAAUACAAAGUUAGUAGAGUAAAUAACAAUCAUAAGAAAUGCGAAGAGAGCAAAGAUUAGAUGAGGCCGAGUUCUUUAGGAAGGGACCAAUCCCUAAUGGCGUAGACUUCGAAGGCGGACAAUCCUAUAGCGGUUGACCUGAUUAGUUGGGUCAAUACGAGUUUUGUUGCGAAACUCCCAACUCCCAUGUUCACAUGUAAAAUAAGAAAGAUAAGGAUUAGAGACCGAAUAAAUAUAAGAAUAUAAAUUAAAGGAAGUAAACACCGCACAAGCAUUGAAAAGCUUAAGUUAAUAUUAAGCAUGUGAACACAUAACCGUAGGGGUCACACUUUAGGCUUAUCGUAUAUAGUGAAAAGAAAAAACUACAUAUACCCAAUUAAGAUCAACGAACUGUGGAAAUAAGAUUGAACUUGACAACCACGCUUAAACUUUACAUUCUCAGGGAGGCUAAAGAGAAGCAAGGCUUCUAACAUGGCCUAAACUUUAAGACUUCCAUUCACAAUUCUUUGAAAGAUCCUUCAAGAACCCAAUCAGCCAACAUUCAAAGAAAAUAUUUUAGUUUAGUGGAGACUUAUGGGACACUAUAAGUAUCAUGAAAAACUCCCACUUUGUAUAGGUUGAAACUACCCCAAACAACCACCCCCGCAACAUUCCAUAUUUGAAAGCAAUUACAUUUUUAAAAAUCAACCAAACCCCAACAUGUUCUGUAGGCCAAAUUUAGGACAGAAUAUAUUUCCAAAAUUAAUAUGAAACAGUAAAACGGCCAAGCCAACGAAACAAAAUACUUAGCAUAUUUACCAAAUAGGAAAGUGCAGGUGGUAGACGGGCAGAUUUAACUUUUUCAGACAUUAAAAUGUGAAACAACCUUAAUAAUGAACCGAGUUCAUAAGCAACGACGUCAACUACGUCAUAACCAAACUCGACCCCGGAAUAUACUACGUUUUGAGCAACAUUUUCGGAACCAAAGCCGUAUUUGCCCAUAUCACAACAACAAAAUCGACUCCAACUCAAACUUUAUGAAAACUUACACACAGGAAUUCAUUUUUUACUAACUAAAAAACUCUAGAUUUUGACCGGAAUCACUUUUCAGAGUCAAAAUCCCCUUUUAAAUCCACAACAGUAACCAAAUGCUAGCAACAAACUCAAGCGAAACAAUAAUUACAUAUUCAUAAAUCUAUCGAAAUGACGAAAAAUGUCGAACGAAAAUAGAAAAUAUUCACACGUUUAUAGACCUGCGUUUUCGCAUUUCGGCCACAGGAUGAUUUCAAAAAAAUUAAUGCUACAUUUCAUCCCCAAGCCGACGAAAACAAUAACAAGCACGGACUCAAUGAAUUUAAACUAGACUACAUGCUUAUCAAACCCUAACGAGAUGAAGGAAAGGAGAGAUGGGAGUGAGACGAGAAAACGUGAUUCGCACCUUUUUUCGGGCGGCAAACUGAAACUUUUCGUCGAGUAUUCCGGUGACUUUGAAACUCAACCCGAACUUCAAAUUUUAAGCGAAUCGAAAGAAGAUCAAGAAAACUUGAGACCCCCGAUAUAAAGAAAAAAAACUGUUUUCUUCCCCCCUUUUUUUCCUUUUCUCACAGAUUUUUCUUCUUUUCCACUGAUCUUGCUACUCUUUUUUUUAUUUGUCUUGCUUCAAAAUUAAGCCUCUAAAAAAACCUCAAAAAAUUUGCGUUUGUUUCCGUUCUCUCCCUUUUUCGACCUUCUCUUUUACUGAUGUCUAUCCAAAUUUCCUUGUUUCCCCCAUAGCAACGAAUGACCCAUAUUUAUAGGCGAAUCCGGACUUGAAAGUCCAGAUUCGAAACUCGAUUUUAACCAAACGUGAUGAAAAAACUUGGUUUGAAAUUGAUUCGAAAUUCUGAACAAAUCUCUUGCUUUUUCAGCUCAUUAAUGGCGAUUUUGACUCCUUUUUCCGUUGUUAUACGAAUUAGGGGACUAUUUUUCUGAUUCUUUGGCGAUUUGCUGGCUUGGGGGAGAUUCUCGUGCAGCUGUAGGCGGCCGCAACAGCUAUGGUUUCUCGUUUGGGUUGGAAGGGAAACGAAGAAGAAGGAAAGAAGAAAAGGGUCUGGUUUUUGAGAAAGCAGAUGGUGACCCUACGCUGAUUUUUGGGGAUAUGAGGGAAGCACGCGUAUCUUUUAUUAAAAAGGAGAAGAAGCCAUGUAUUUGAUGCUCGACGUAAUAUC